GCCUAAUACAUGCAAGUCGAGCGAACGGACGAGAAGCUUGCUUCUCUGAUGUUAGCGGCGGACGGGUGAGUAACACGUGGAUAACCUACCUAUAAGACUGGGAUAACUUCGGGAAACCGGAGCUAAUACCGGAUAAUAUUUUGAACCGCAUGGUUCAAAAGUGAAAGACGGUCUUGCUGUCACUUAUAGAUGGAUCCGCGCUGCAUUAGCUAGUUGGUAAGGUAACGGCUUACCAAGGCAACGAUGCAUAGCCGACCUGAGAGGGUGAUCGGCCACACUGGAACUGAGACACGGUCCAGACUCCUACGGGAGGCAGCAGUAGGGAAUCUUCCGCAAUGGGCGAAAGCCUGACGGAGCAACGCCGCGUGAGUGAUGAAGGUCUUCGGAUCGUAAAACUCUGUUAUUAGGGAAGAACAUAUGUGUAAGUAACUGUGCACAUCUUGACGGUACCUAAUCAGAAAGCCACGGCUAACUACGUGCCAGCAGCCGCGGUAAUACGUAGGUGGCAAGCGUUAUCCGGAAUUAUUGGGCGUAAAGCGCGCGUAGGCGGUUUUUUAAGUCUGAUGUGAAAGCCCACGGCUCAACCGUGGAGGGUCAUUGGAAACUGGAAAACUUGAGUGCAGAAGAAGAAAGUGGAGUUCCAUGUGUAGCGGUGAAAUGCGCAAAGAUAUGGAGGAACACCACUGGCGAGGCGACUUUCUGGUCUGUAACUGACGCUGAUGUGCGAAAGCGUGGGGAUCAAACAGGAUUAGAUACCCUGGUAGUCCACGCCGUAAACGAUGAGUGCUAAGUGUUAGGGGGUUUCCGCCCCUUAGUGCUGCAGCUAACGCAUUAAGCACUCCGCCUGGGGAGUACGACCGCAAGGUUGAAACUCAAAGGAAUUGACGGGGACCCGCACAAGCGGUGGAGCAUGUGGUUUAAUUCGAAGCAACGCGAAGAACCUUACCAAAUCUUGACAUCCUUUGACAACUCUAGAGAUAGAGCCUUCCCCUUCGGGGGACAAAGUGACAGGUGGUGCAUGGUUGUCGUCAGCUCGUGUCGUGAGAUGUUGGGUUAAGUCCCGCAACGAGCGCAACCCUUAAGCUUAGUUGCCAUCAUUAAGUUGGGCACUCUAAGUUGACUGCCGGUGACAAACCGGAGGAAGGUGGGGAUGACGUCAAAUCAUCAUGCCCCUUAUGAUUUGGGCUACACACGUGCUACAAUGGACAAUACAAAGGGCAGCGAAACCGCGAGGUCAAGCAAAUCCCAUAAAGUUGUUCUCAGUUCGGAUUGUAGUCUGCAACUCGACUACAUGAAGCUGGAAUCGCUAGUAAUCGUAGAUCAGCAUGCUACGGUGAAUACGUUCCCGGGUCUUGUACACACCGCCCGUCACACCACGAGAGUUUGUAACACCCGAAGCCGGUGGAGUAACCUUUUAGGAGCUAGCCGUCGAAUGUGGGACAAAUGAUUGGCGUGAAGUC
rnacentral:rRNA from 1 species